rnacentral:tRNA from 4 species
GGGCGAUUGGUUUAGUGGUAUAACGAUCCCUUCGCAUGGGAUAGGUCCUAGGUUCGAUUCCUAGAUUGUCCA